rnacentral:rRNA from 1 species
GACGAACGCUGGCGGCGUGCUUAACACAUGCAAGUCGAACGGAAAGGCCCUGCUUUUGUGGGGUGCUCGAGUGGCGAACGGGUGAGUAACACGUGAGUAACCUGCCCUUGACUUUGGGAUAACUUCAGGAAACUGGGGCUAAUACCGGAUAGGAGCUCCUGCUGCAUGGUGGGGGUUGGAAAGUUUCGGCGGUUGGGGAUGGACUCGCGGCUUAUCAGCUUGUUGGUGGGGUAGUGGCUUACCAAGGCUUUAACGGGUAGCCGGCCUGAGAGGGUGACCGGCCCCAUUGGGACUGAGAUACGGCCCAGACUCCUACGGGAGGCAGCAGUGGGGAAUAUUGCACAAUGGGCGGAAGCCUGAUGCAGCAACGCCGCGUGCGGGAUGACGGCCUUCGGGUUGUAAACCGCUUUCGCCUGUGACGAAGCGUGAGUGACGGUAAUGGGUAAAGAAGCACCGGCUAACUACGUG